GACGAACGCUGGCGGCGUGCUUAACACAUGCAAGUCGAACGAGUGGCGAACGGGUGAGUAACACGUGGGCAAUCUGCCCUGCACUCUGGGAUAAGCCCGGGAAACUGGGUCUAAUACUGGAUAGUGCAGGAUGAGCCCGCGGCCUAUGAGCUUGUUGGUGGGGUAAUGGCUACCAAGGCGCGACGGGUAGCCGGCCUGAGAUGGUGAGCGGCGACAGUGGGACUGAGAUAGGGACCAGACUCCUACGGGAGGCAGCAGUGGCGGAGAUUGCACAAUGAGCGGAAGGCUGAUGCAGCGACGCCGCGGGAGGGAGGUCGGCCUUCGGGUUGGAAACCUCUUUCAGUAGUGACGCGGUACCUGCAGAAGAAGCACCGGCUAACUACGUGCCAGCAGCCGCGGUAAUUC
rnacentral:rRNA from 1 species